UGUUCCGCGUAAGAAGGAGAGAGCAAGUAAAAAGAGGGAAAAUCAUGAGCGAGAAGCAACUAAAAUUAUUAUGGCACCGGCGACGCUUCCUCCUCCACCACCACCUCCGCCACCGCCGCCUCCAUUACCACAAUAUGUGGAGCCGAGGAGCAGCAAAAGUGAUCGGAAAAGAGGUGGUGCAAGUGCGACGAAGGAGUUUAUAAACUCUUUAUAUCACAAAAAGAAGAGAAAGAACAGAUCAAAAAGUGUUGAUAAUUUUGAUGCUCUUCUCUACAAAUCAGAACCACCUCCUCUCCAUUACCAACGGCCGGCAUCCUCCACUCCACCACCACCACCUCCUCCGCCACCGCCACCACCUUCUUCUCUGUUUCAAAACUUAUUCACAUCCAAAAAGGCCAGAAGAAAGAGAAAUGCACCUCCACCACCGCCACCACCUCCUCCGCCAGUCAAGGCAGUACCGGUCAGGAUAUCAAGACCAAAUACCCCUUUCACCAGAACUCCAGCACCAAAGCCAGUGAAAAUAAGAAGCUUCGACAGUGUCGAAGAAAACCCAAACAGCGGAGGAGAAUCGCCGUUGAUACCAAUUCCACCACCACCUCCACCACCCCCAUUCUUCAGAAAACACGCCUGGAAAUUCGUAGUACAAGGCGACUACUUGAGAAUAGACAGCACCCUCAGCUCACGUUCUGGGUCUCCUGAACUUGAAGAUAUAGAUUCAGCCGAAAACACCCCGAUGGCAGAAGACGCCGGCGCUGGUGAAGGGAUGGCGUUUGCUCCGUCACCAUUGUUUUGUCCAAGCCCAGAUGUAAACACAAAAGCUGAAAACUUCAUAUCAAAAUUUAGAGCUGGAUUAAAGCUAGAAAAAAUCAAUUCCUUCAACAAAAAUGAUCUAGGACGAAGCUUAUCAAAUCUCGGCCCAGGAGUAGGCCACAGUUAGAUUCUUUUCUUACCACAUUGAUUGAUUUGUUAAAGUUGUCAUUUUUUUUGUUCAUCAUUUGAGAUUUGAGUUAUUAUUAGUGUACAGAAAAUAGAGAGAUUGUUUAAAAAAAAAAAAACUAUCAUAGGUCACUUAAGCUUCCGCUAUGGAUUGAACAUUUGUUAAUUUUGUGUUUCUUUGUUGCAGUUGAUAAGUUGGUCAUGUAGUACUUGACUAGCCUAAGUUAUGAAAGAAGUGUGAUUUUGAAUAAUCGAUCCAUGAUGAUGAUGUAUUUGAUAAGAGGAAAUUAAAUUCGAACUUGUUG
rnacentral:misc_RNA from 1 species